rnacentral:ncRNA from 2 species
AUCUUAUCCAGAGUGGCAGAGGGACUGGCCCUAUGAAGCCCGGCAACCGGCAUAUUUAAAUGUAUCGGUGCUAAUUCCAGCGAUAUUUCUAUAUCGACAGAUGAGAA